GGUUCUGUGGUGUAGUGGUUAUCACGUUCGCUUUACACGCGAAAGGUCCUCGGUUCGAUCCCGGGCAGAACCA
rnacentral:tRNA from 1 species